GUGCUCACUUUGGCAGCACGUAUACUAAAAUGGGAAUGACACAGAGAUUAGCAUGGCCCCUGUGCAAGGAUGACACCAAAUUCGUGAAGCAUUCCGUUAAAAG